AAGGGGUGAAAAGGCUCACAAACCGGAAUUGAAGUGUGAUGGCACCCAGUAACUGUGUGUGAAGGUAUGCACCAAUCUUUCUGUGUGCUUUGCAGGGAGUUUAGUCUGUAAUUCACACUUACAAAUGGAGCUACUGAGCAGUGGGAUUUUUGACAUGACAAUUGCUCGGCUGUGGCAUUCUGUUUGUUCUAUAUUGUUAUCUGAUUUGUAUUGUGAGCCAACUUAAAGCAUUGCUUUUACUUUUUUUUUUUAACAAGAGAUAGGGUGGUGGGGAGAGAGAGAGAGCAUGUUCUCAUUUCUCAGCCCAUCUAAACUAAUUGUACAAGAAUCUUUAACUUAGCUCCUCUCUGUAUGUGUGUGUGUGUGUGUGUGUGUAUGUAUGUGUGUGUGUAUGUAUGCAUGUGUGUGUAUGUAUGUGUGUAUGAUAGCUCUGUGCUUGUAUCUUGUAAAUAAUUACAUAAUACCUCAUUAAAAUUAACUACUUUUUUGUGUCAUGAUUUUUUUUUUCAUUGUGAAGUUAGAAAUUACUGGUAUUAUUUCUAGUGAAACAUUGUAUUUAGAUUAUAUUUUAUACGAAUCAGUUCUUUUAGGUGUGAAAACUUUAUAACUUUUUUUACUGAAAAUAUUCUUUUAUUAGUACAGAUAUUUCAAUAAUGUGUAGAUAAACUUCAAGGUAAACAUGGGAUUUUUUAAUAAUAUGUUAGUAAUGUGUUUAUGUGCAUUUUGAUGCUUUGUGUUUGUUUUUUUUUGUUUUUGUUGUUGUAUAUAAAUUACACAUCCAUGCGUUAUGAAUGUAUCUAUUUUACUUCUGUAGCGCUAACAGGUGUGUUAACAGUUUGCUGGUUCCAUUAAUCAGGAGGAGGGGCAGUACGAGCGGUGCUAGUUAGACAGACACUAGAAUAAGGGGGGCAAUGCUAAUAUAAAGUUUAGGAGAGGAAGUCUCUGCACUGUACAAUAUAUAAUCUAAGUGAGGAAUAGGAGGUAUGCACGAGAGAGAGACUGACAUGGCAGACACAUAGACAGUAUUGUAAUAUAUAUAUAUAUAUAUAUAUAUAUAUAUAUAUAUAUAUAUAUAUAUAUAUAUAUAUAUAGUAUUAUUAUUAUUAUUAUUAUUAUUAUUAUUAUUAUUAUUAUUAUUGGUAAUUAGUAAUUAUAAUCAUUUAUUACUGUUUUGGUUGGGAAGGCAGCGUUCAUUAUCUCCAAUAACCCUUUAGCAGUUGUUAAUUGUAAUGAAUACCUGGAGCUCGGUUAGUUAAUGGCUGGUGUUUAACAUUUCACAAUGUGUUGAUCUGUGAACAGAUAGCCAUGCAAUUCCUUUCACUUUCAACAAGUGUCAAGUUUUUAAGUUUUUCAGAGACUAUGAUAUAAAGAGUCCCUGUAUAUCCAUACACAGUCUAUAUAUACACAUACACACACACACACACACACACCAAUAUACAUUCAAUAUAAAACUGAAUUUUUUUGGGACACUGAGGACAUAAGAAUUCUGUAAUUAUUCAAAGCAAAGAAUAGCAAUUUUAAUUCUCCUAGCUUGGUAUGGAAGUGCCUGGCUUAAGAUUUAUUCGAAGAAGCAGUAGUGAUUUGUAAUUCAAUUUUAAUCCAAUGAAAAUAUAAUGCAAUAAAUCAUAGUUCUGAGGUGCAAGGUGUUUGUAUGACGGACACACACACACACACAGACAGACACACACACUGACACGUUACCGACACAUACAGUGCUUUAAUAGAAUGAAUGCUGGGGUUGUGUGGGGUCUGCAUUGGAGUAAAAUGAAAUCCCAUUUUAACUCCCCUGGGGUGUCUCUGAUAAUCCCCAAUCAUUCCAGCUCAUAGCAGCAACAUAUGUACAGUACUUAGACAGCUGCUGUGUGAGCCAGAUGUGCAGGCUUGAAAAGACUCAAACAGCCGACUGGUUAUAAAGGACACAAUCAGUGCUAGAGCAAAUCCUAUCUAUUCACGUGUUUUAUCAUACAGCGUCUACCAGCAAAAGGCAACCUGACCAUUAAUCAUUGCUGGGCAUGCUGUGAUUAAUGUAAGAAAAACACACACACACACACACACACACACACUCAUAUACAAACACCACAAAAUAUUGUAUUUAUUUCACCGUAUUACAAAUUUAUAUCAGUUAUUUAAAGGAGGCAAAAAUGAAUUAGUAAUUAAUAAUUGAUGCACAAUGAUACAAAUCUGCUGUAUAGACAGUCACUAUAAACAAAAAAAAAACAAAAAAAUUCAUGUACAAUUCUAUCUAUCUAUCUAUCUAUCUAUCUAUCUAUCUAUCUAUCUAUCUAUCGUCUAUGUCUAUCUAUCUAUCUAUCUAUCUAUCUAUGUCUAUCUAUCUAUCUAUCUGUCUGUCUGUCUGUCUGUCUGUCUGUCUGUCUAUCUGUCUGUCUAUCUAUCUAUGAAAUUAUACUAUGGAGUUAAUUGUCCUAAUAUAUCUAAUCCCCAAUAAGAAUUUCAUAGAGGUCAGACUGCAGGUACUGGCUUUCUAAAUAUAUUUCAUGUUGACUGAAUAUUACAAUUGACUUCCAUUUGAACAGUCUGCCAGAACCCCACAUCCUGUGGACAGGUGUAUCAUAAAAAAAGCAUCACUAAAUAUUAGUAUUAGCUAGUGAGGUCAUUUAAAUUACCGGUAUAGUGAUCUGCACCUUGCACUGAAUCUAGAGAUCAUUUUUCAUCUAUAUGAUUUAUUGUAUAUUCAUUUUACCAUCAUUUUUUUGGUACUGUUCUUUGUUUUAGGAAAGACCAUCAGAGUGUAACAAAAAAAAAAAAGUCCCUUUCUGUGGAAAUUAAAAAAUACAUAGUGAAUCAGGUUAUCCUAAAAAAAAAUACAUUAAAAAAAUUAAAUAAGAAUAUCCUGCUAGACAUAUUUAACCUCAGCGUUUCAUAUAACUGCAUGAAAAAAAAGUGUUGUUUGUUAGAACCAGAAAUAAAUACAAAAAUCCAUUUAAAAUAACUUAUUUUUAAUUGACAAAAAUGUGUAAUAUUAAAAUGAAGUAAAAAAAAAAACAAAAAAAACAAAUGUCACUGAUAUAAAAAAAUAUUCCUGUAAUUAAUAUUUUUCCAACUGUGCUGAAAAAAGUGAAUUCUAUCUUAUAGAUAUUUUUUUUACAUGAACCUGGAUAUUAUUUCACAGACAUAAAAUACACUUUUGCAACCGUUCUAAUACUAAGAAACACAUGAAACCGGAGGGAGACAGUUAAUUCUUUAAAUUCAGUAUUUUUAAGCCCUGAUGGGGUUCCACACAAUUAAAUGAAAUCCAGCAAAAGAUGUGUUGGGACAAUCAUAUCAUUAAUGACAGUUAUUUUUGCUGGUCAAUAAAUCACCAAAUCGUUACUUAAACACGAUGAAUUUAGGAGAUUAAACAAUUUCAUUAAUAUUGAAAUAGCUACCAGGAUCCAGAUUAGUUGCUUGAAAUGCAGAAUCACGUUUUUCAAUAUUAACAGAAGCACUUGAGCACUAACACAAUAUGACCUUCUAAAUUCAGGUAUAAAAAUAUAAAAUAAAAUAAAAAAAUAUAAACGAAAAAUGCAAAUGCAGAUAAAUUCGAUCUGUUUAUCACUCGUUCUAUGCCUGAGAAUUUUAUCUGCAACCCUCAAACGUGCCCAUAUGACUCUGAAUUGUUCUACUUUGUCAGAUGAAGGGUUAAUCUGACUUGCACCUUAACAAAUGUCUGUCAUAAAUAUAACUCCGAAUAUAGCAAUAGGGAUUUGAUUAAGGAUUAGAGUGAAUUAACUAUGCAUUAAACAGCAGAAUUAAAAGCAAGCCAUCAUCAAUUGCAGGAGUGAUAGUUUAAUUGAAUGCUUUAAUUUAAUUAUAAUAUUAAAAAUACAAAAGAAAAAAUAUUAGUAGCAUUAUUAUUUUAAGUAGAUAAAUUGCUUGCCCCCUUUUCUCUUGUGUGAGGUAUCGUUCACAAGGUUUGGCUGAAAUCAAAAGUUAAAGUAUAAAAAAAAGUAGGAUUUUUUACAUUUUUAGAUAUUAAUUAAUUACAAAAAUCGGACAUGGCUGGCUUUAUAUUUUGUUUAAAAAUAUUUUUUUACAUGAUAUGGUGAUAUUGCAAGAUUAAGUUAUAACACAAUAAAAAAACAAUCUACUGUACUUUCUAAAACACUACACACACACACAUUAUUGGAGUAAUAGGUUUCUGAUUUUUUUUGCAUAAUUGUAUAGACUCUGUUAUGUUAGAUACAUUUAACUCUGGUAAUUGCAUACAAAUUGUCCAAUUCUCUGAAAUAAAAUAGCAAUUUAAAAAAAGCGACCUCAGUUAUUUGGACACAGCUUUGUGUGUCUGCGUCUUUCUGUUUGUGGGUAUGUCAGUGUGUCUGUGUGUUCGUUAGAAUGUUAGAAAAAAAAUAUAUAUAUCAUAUUUUAAUAUAAAUUAUAUUUAUUUAUUUUAUAUAUAUAUAUAUUUUUUUUUUUUAAUUUUCCAUAACCUUACCGAUUCAGACAUAUAUAUCCACUCAUACAUACAACCGUUGAGUAAUAAGCUAAACCCUUGAUUCUCUGUGCUUGCUUGAGGCACCCACAAAAGCAAUGUAAAUGUGCAUCAUUUAUUUAUUUAGUGUGUUUGUUUGGGUUUGCUGUUAAUCAUUGAAAUGAAGUGCAUGUCAAAUGAGUGUAUAAGGGGUUUUAAGAGUGAAUGCACCCAUUUGUAAAGAAAUGCAAAAGAAUUUAAAGAAAAAGAAAGAAAAAAGGAAAAAAAAGGCCCCCUUUUUUGGGAGACUCAUUUAAAUAAGAGGCUUCAACAGUUGUUGGGAAAAUGGGCAUAAAUACACAUAAGUCAAUUAUACCAAUGUGCAAAAAAGCAAACGGGGAUCUCUUUGCACCAAGGCUGUAUUCAGCUCUUUGCUCACCAUCAGUAAAGCUCUGCUUUCUGCAUGAAAGGAUAGCAAUAGACCCCUUAAAAAAAAAAAAAAAAAGCAGGACCCCACACGUUUACAGAUUUGGUAAUAAUUUAUGCUAAUUUCCCUCACAUAAAUCCACAAUUCGUUUCAGUAGCAUACAGACUGCUCAGAUAGGCAAGAAGAAGUAAAACACAAUGGUCCUAACACAAUAUUGGUUUUCAUUCCUUAUGGUGUGAGUGCAGGUGUGAUGUAGUAGAAAGGUUUCAGGAUUUAAUCUAUAGUGCCAAGUAAAAAAAGAAAUAAAAUAAAAUAAUCCUCUUUUAUCACAUAUGUUAAUAUUUACUAUAUAGGAAUGCAGAUGAGUUAAGCAGAUUUACUUUUAGUGUCUUUUAGGCAUCUAACAAUGAAUAGUUCAAAACCAGAUUUCGCAACUUUCAAAUAGUUCUUUUCUCAUUUGGAGUAAAGUCUUAGAUUAUAUUUGAUGAACUUACUGGCUGCCCCUCUGUUUACUUAUUGGCAGUGAAAAGGGAGCUGAUAGAAUUAAGUUCGAGACUGAGUUUUCUUUGUUUUGCUGAUAGUUUUUUGAGUUUACCAAAGUGAUAUUUUUUUCUCCUUAUGGGAAUUUAAGGCAGUAAAGGGAGUCCUUUUGUUUCCAACAAUUUUACCAAAUUAUUUUCUCUCACAUCAACUGACUAGGAUUGCAUUCUGUCUCAGCAAACCCAAGGACCAAUUACAUUGCACUCUUAUAGUUUAUUACACAUAUUUGGUGUAGUUCAGACAUUCUUAUUCUGUUUAUGUUAAUAUUAGAUGGAAUGUAUUGGUAUUUAUUUUUGAAUUAUUUUAUAUCGAAAUUCUGAGAAUACAUUAGGACGAAAUAGCAAUUUCAGUAAUAAAAAAGAGCAAUUCUGAAAUAUAUUUUAAAGAAGAAUUGAUGUUUAAUAAAUGCGUUUGUUAACAGUAACACCAUAUUUAACAACACAGAAAGCUAUUAUAACAUUAUGAAAGAGAAGUAAGUUUCUGCCGAAAUAUGUGUUCAAUUGAAAAAAAUAGUUAAAUUAUCUAAGAUGGACAAUUUUAUUUUUUAAUGAAUGAUGUUUUGGCCUUUUUUUUUUCUUUUAAAGAUAUUUGGACUUUAUAACAACUCAAUGUUUAGUUGAUAUAAACAAUAUAUCUAAUUUCCAAAUGGGGUAUUUUGGGAUACAUUCAAUCAAUUGUGUAACAUUAACAUCAAUGCAAACAAACACUAGUUGUACUUCCUUAUAUUAAUAUCACAAUUGCUUUUCCUUUUUUUUUACUUGGAAGAGUGGCAAGUCAAUUUUUUCAGCCUUCAGUAUCACAAGAAUUGAAAUGUAAGAACUCCCAAUAAACUUCCAGUGUUUUGUAUUUAUUCACAUUGAUCUUUUUUUUUAGGCAUUACGCUGCCCGUGAAACAUGCAUUAUUAGACUUAAAAAUUGUCAUAUGCAUAAAAAUAUUUUUAUUCAUUAUAAUCAUGUUUUUUUCCUUUAUUAUUUUCAUAUCAGAUUGCAUUCUGUGUGUUUGUGUUGUUGUACGGAUCAAAUAACGGCCUUCUUCCUUAAAUGCAAAAUAGCGUUGAUUUAAAAUUAAUAGUGCAACUAUAUUUAGCUAAAUUAUUUACACUGUCACUAAAGCUGAGCUGGGGAUGUUCUAUAAAAAAAAAUCUAUUUUUGGUUAAAUAUUGCAAUUUAGUUUUCAGUACACUGCAAUUUGGUGUUUACUGAAUGAACUGCAAGGAUUGCAGAAUAUUAUAUUUUCUGGAUGUAGGUAAAUUGUCUUCGGUACAUAAAUAAAAGAUAACAUCAUCUACUUAAAAGAGGAAACGCCACAUCUCUGGAAGUCACACCAUUGAAUUAAACAUUAAAAAUCACCUGUAACUUAUGUUAAACUUUUUUUAAUGUUAGGCUCCAUUUUCUUUAAAAUCUAUAUCAAAGAUUUAGCAAAUGCCAUCACAAUUCAGUUCAGACAAGGCGAAGAUAGAAAAAAUAGAAACCUUGUUUAAUGUAUCGUCCUCUCUUUAUGCUUUAUCUAUGGUAUCUUGUAUGAAAGACAAAAAACGAAGGAGACCAAUCGUGUAGAAUUUAUGGACCAAUAUAUGUGAAGAGAAAGAAAUAUAUAUAUUCAACUCACAUUUAAAAGAGCUAUAGCCAGCUCAGGUGUGAAGGGCAUACAGCGGUAUAAUCCCAGUUUAUAAGAUAUGUGGUGGUAGUCUUCUGGAAAGGGCGAUGUCCAACACUCAGGAGAAGGGUAUAUAAAAAACAACUGAUAGUGCUCUCAGUGUAUAUAGGGUAUAAAAUGAACGUAAAUAAAAAUGUACUUACAAGUAUAGUGCAGGCCAACUGCACUAUGAUAUCAGCGUUGGUGGUAUGAUCCACACCUCGGAUAAACUUGUAGUCACACGAUAAAAAUAUAAAAUACAUAAAAUUGUGUAUAAAAAAUACAAUUGGCACAGAGUAGUAACCAAAAACCUUUUAAUUAGAUAAAAUACACAAACAAUAUUACCAUUACGCGUUUCGCCACUAGGACUUUUUCAAAUGGGAUAAAAUUAACAACCUGGCUAGUAGGGGUUUAUAUAGGUACAUCGUAAUUUAAAAAUUGGCGCCAAAAUGACGUCACUAUUCGGCAGCCAAUAGAAUAAAAACUUAUAUAACAAAUUAGUAAAUAUAAAUAAAAAAACUUAUAUUCAAGAUUAUUCUGAACUGUGUCUGUUUUAGUUAAAAUCGCUUAAAAAAAAAAAAGAGGUUAGAAUACUUUAGAUUACCUAAGGAAAGCGAUAUUGAGAUCAUUGGUGACAGUACACAUAGUAUGCUGGGAGAUGUAGUGUAAACCUAGCGAGCGAGCGAUGCGUCUCAUGAUAGUGGAUAUGAGGUGCACCAUGGGGACUGUAGUAUAGUGUAUAACUUGGUGGCUAAGCCAAAAAUGGGGUGGAGUAGUGCGAGAAUGGAAGAACAGAGGAAAUAGUAUCGGGCAGAAUUACACAGGAAUGGUAGAAAGUUGAUGCGAACUGCAUCAUGGGGAUUGUAGUUUCAUUAGAUGGCAAAAAGAAAUGAAACAUAAUAGAAAAUAAACUAUAAGUAGGGCUAAAUAGUAAAUAGGUGACUAAAUAUAGGGGAGAAUUGUGCAUCUUGGGAACAGUAGAAGUACAAAUUACACAUACAUUUUAAAUAUUUUAAAUAUAUUAUAUUAUUAUCAUAUUUGGCGCAGCACUUCAUUACUGUUUUUUGUGUUUUAAACUUUGUAUAACUGUAGGCUACCUUUAUAGUUAUUAUUAGACUUGUGCAUGGUGGAAUCACUGUGCCUGAAAAGAAAAUUUAGUUUGGGAGUCUACUAAUUGUCCAUGUGUCGGUUCAGCGCUUCAAAUACUGUCCGCACAAAAUAUUUGGGAAAAACAGUUAAGAUGAACUAAAAGGGUGCAAAAAUGGUCCUAUCGGUGUACUUAAAAUAUAUACAUAAUAUAAAUAUUAUGCAUGUUCCUGACAUUUGGAUCAUAGAUCGAGUGAGAUAAAGUAACCAAUAAAGGGGGAAAAGGAGGAGCAGUAAAAAUAAAUAAAUCUAUUUUUACAUAAUAUAUAUAUAUAUUUCAUUAUUUAUUUAUAAAAUAUUUUACCAGGAAUGAUACAUUGAGAUUUCUUUCGUUUUCAAGUAUGUCCUGGGUCCACAAAACAUUGCAUUGUUACAAUAGGGUUCAAUAUUACAAAAAAAUACAAUAUAUAUAUAAAUAUAUAUAUAUAUAUAUAUAUACAUGCAUAGAGCACCCCUAUACUGCAGGUCUGCCCACCUGGGUGGUGAAGUUCAUUAUUCUUCACCCUGGACUAUAAAAAAAACAAACAAAAAACCUAAGAAGGCAGUGGGGGUGUAGCUUAAUGAGGUAUGAAGGCGGAGCUAAAAGGGUGGUGGGGCGGAGCUUAAAGCACCCGAUAUCCUUAACCUCUGCACAAGAAGUGGGAAGCAGAAUGGAGACCCUGCUUUCCCAACUACCAGGUACCAGGAACUGCAGUGCCUCCACUCCUCACUCCAGUCCAUAAUGGCAAGAGAUAAGUGUGUACAUGUGUGUGACUGCCUGUAACUAUGUGUGUGUGACUGUAGCAUUGUAGGACUGUCUGUAACUGUGUGAGUGUGACUGUCUGCCUGUAACUGUGUGACUGCCUGUAACUGUGUGUGUGUCUGUGUGUGUGACAGUCUGCAACUGUGUAUGUGUGUGUGUGUAACUGCCUGUAAGUGUGUGUGACUGGACAUAAUAUUGUGGGUAACUGCCUGUAACAGUGUGCCACUGUCUGCCUGUAACUGUGUGUCUGUCUGUAACUGUGUGUGUGACUAUCUAACUGUGUGUAUGUGUGUGUGUAUUUAUGUGCCUGUAACUGUGUGUCUGUGUGCCCGUAACUUUGUGUUUGACUAUCUAACUGUGUGUAUGUGUGUGUGACUGUCUACUUGCAACGGUGUGUGUGACUAUCUAACUGUGUGUAUGUGUGUGUGACUGUCUAACUGUGUGUAUGUGUGUGUGACUGUCUGCCUGUAAUGGUCUGUGUGUGACUGUCUAACUGUGUGUAUGUGUGUGUGACUGUCUGUCUCCAACUGUGCAUUUGUUCCUGCCUGCAACUGUGCAUGUGUAUAUGUCUGCCUGUAACAGUGUGCGUGUGUGUGACUGUCUGCCUGUAAUGGUCUGUGUGUGACUAACUGUGUGUAUGUGUGUGUGACUGUCUGCAACUGUGUAAGUGUAUUUGUCUACCUGUAGCUGUGUGUGUGUGUAUCUUUGUGUCUGUAACUGUGUUUGUGUGUCUGUCUGUAACUGUGUGUGUGACUGUCUAACUGUGUGUAUGUGUGUGUGACUGUCUGCCUGUAACAGUGUGUGUGGCUGUCUGUAACUGUGUGUAAGUGACUGUCUGUCUCUAACUGUGUGUGUGUGUGUGUGUGUGACUGCCUGCAACUGUGUAUGUGUAGAUGUCUGCAUAUGACUGUGUUUGUGUGACUGUCUGCCUGUAACUGUGUGUGUGUGACAGAUUCACAGCACACUGGACGACCAGAGAUCAGCAUGCCUCACUAUCUGCAGGGUUCCAACAGGAAAGGGGGAAUUAAUAUUUGUUUUAAAAUAAUAAUUAAUUUAAUAUAUCCCAAAUAGAAACACUUCACCCCUACACACACGCUACACAUAAUGAAGAGGUAUGAUUGGAGGGGGGGGGAGGAGGAGAGGCACUGUGAAGUUUUUUCGCACAGGGCGCCUAAUAGCCUAAGACUGGACCUGAUUCCAUAAUUGCGGUGCACUGUAGUAAAAAUGAAGGUCGAGCCACUUUAUUUUUGUAUUUUGCGGUAUGCUAAAUAAAGUGCUGGUACUGGAUCAGAGGUUAUAGGAGGUGGGAACAGCUGGAGAGAGCAUUCUACUAAGGUAGGGUGGGAUCUUUGGAGAAAGGCUCUUAUGCACAAGGCUGGAAAGAUGAAGAGUGCAUCGGGAUUCCAGCGAUCGCCAGUUCAGCUCUGUUAACAUGUCACAAUGGUGGGUAAAGUAAUUACAUUCUAGUACAAAGCUGCAGAACUAAUUAUAUAAUGUAUUAAAUUUAUGAAGGUGGGUUUGCAAUGCAGGUGCAUAUACCACAUCCCCAUAAUCAAUGACCGGCAUUAGCAUUUGUUGCUCUAUCUGUUUCCUUAGUGUCGGGCUUAGGCAGGAUUUGUUUCUGUACAGGGCAACAAGUUUUAGAUAGAGUUUAGAAGAGAUUUUUUUCAAUGUGAAGGACAAAUGAUAGAUUGGGGUCUAGCAGCAUACCUAGAUAAUUGAAAGAACCAACUGCUGUCAGUGUGCUAUUUGAAUUUGUUUUGAUACUCAGUUGUUGAUCUUGUAGUUUACGUAAUUUAGGUACAGUUCCAAAGAUCAUUGUAACAGUUUUGUCAGUGUUUAGGAAGAGUUUGUUAUCCGCUAUCCACUUUUCUACCUCUGUGAACUGGUUUUGAAGCAUAUAUAUGUUUAUUAUUUUUUUACUGCACCUCUUUUUUUCCGUUUAUUGGUCACUUCUCACUUGAGCUGUGACUAAAAUCUAAACUUAGUGGCCGUUUCCUAAUGAUUAAUCAUAUUUUUUUUCCCAUCAAUCAUUUUUUCUUUCACCCCACGAAUGGAACGCUGAAGUAUGAAUCGUAUGAAAAUGCUCGUCAAUUGCUAGAGCCAUUUGUUCAGUUACGCAUCCAUAUUGCGCUUUAGAGUUAUGGAAUUUGGACAACCCACCAAUCGUCCUAAAUUCAAAUGAAUUGCAAUUCAUCCAAAAACAAUUACACAAGUCAAAUUAUUAUUGAAUGUAUUAAUAUUCUAUUAUUUUUUUAAUGGAGGGUGUUGGAUAAUGAGGGUGUUACUACCCAUGGAUGUUGUGCUAUACAGGUUGCACUUCUAAAUGUCUUGGCAUGGAUUAAAAACCUUUAAGGGUCAAUAAUAAGUUUUUUCCCCUUUUUUUUACAAACACUGAGUUAUGGUGAGUUGACACUUGACCUAAACAAAAUGUAAAUAAAGAAGAAAUUCUAGAAACAGGGUUACUAACUAAAAUGAGAAUUCAAAAUUAAUUAAAAGUGAAUUUUAAAUUUAAGGUCAAAAUACGUGAACUGGAAAAAGUCACCUCUGCUUUCGCAUCAACUACUCUGGCCUUAAAUUUGAAGUUCAACUUAAAAUUUCACGUUGGUGAAUAACCCGGACUAUCCUCGGAUCUUCAGAAAUUGGAAAAUUGUUUGAAUUGUACUAUUUUGACCAGAUUUAAACAAGUCGACAGGUCCCCUUAUUUAAUUUUCUAGUGAACAGAGCUCUCAGUGUUUUUGAAAAUAUUUUGAUAUUUUUCAGGUAAACUAUCAAAAUGUAGGUGCCUCUGGAUAAAAUCACUCAUUAUUUUGAUCAUGUGGAUUCAUUUGAUUUAAUUGCUAAAUCAACUGUAUCCAUCUUCAGAACUUUCAUCUUAAUUGGAAACUGAUCGUAGUAAUACUUUGUUUAUAUUGAUACAUGCAAUAUUCUAUAUAUAUAUUUGCUCUGAUAGAAUAAGUUUAAAUAACACAGUUUUCUGGAUAUUACAUCUUUCGAGUAAACCCUACAUUAAUAAUACAUAUUAUGAGGUAGCGGCUUAAUGGGAAAUAUUUACUAAACAUUUUUAAUUACUCAAUUUACAUAUUAAUCAUUAUUUGCACUUGUGCAUACUCUUAUUUACUAAAGUGAUCACUUAUGUAUAAUACAUUUUUGCUAUUUGCAUACAAUUAUGCACAUAAAAUGUUCUACAGUCAAUUAUUGAGCAGGCUGUUCAUACACAACAGAGAAAUAAUUCAUCUCUAUUUAUUCCCUUUAUGUACAGUCAGUGGGUUAAAUCAGGAAAGAUGCAAGUUAUUUUCAGAUUUUAUAGAAAAAAAACAAAAUUGACAACUAUAUGUGUUAUUUUUUAUGUGUGUUAAAAUAAAUGUUGCUUAUCUAUCUAUCUAUCUAUCUAUCAUUCUAUCUAUCUAUCUAUCUCUUUCUCUCUCCCUCUCUCUUUCUCUCUCUUUAUCUAUCAUCUAUCUAUCUGUUACGGCUCUCCCAGCAUAAAGGGGUUAAACCGCCGUUUAGUAGAGUUCCCCUUUUUGUGGAGGUAUAGGUACAGCUACUGUAGAACCCCAACUCCCGAACUGGAACCAGGGAAUGCUCCAAACUCCUGAACGGUAAUCUCACAAAUAGCUGCUAACGGACGAACACACACAGCAUUCAAGCGGCUUACAUUCCCAGCAAUCAGUCUCUAAUCGCGUUCAGUAAAUCCCCUCAAUCACGAGACCAAGCUCCGUAUUGAGGGUAAAACAGGAUUCUGGUUUAUUGAGGGCUACCUGCCCGGCAUUUAUGCAGGUCUCCCACCUGGCGGACACUCCCCUUGGGGACCAGAUGGAAGACUGUAACACAGACAGACAUGUAUCACAUUCGGACACACAGAAGUAAAACAUCCCCACAAUGCAUCCUAAUUUCCCUCCCUCUAUCCUGGAGAUAAUUGGGAAGUAAUCCAAUUAUCUCCCACAACAUAGGCAAAUCGCCAUUAUACACGUGGGGACACAGAGACAGUAAAAUACAUUAAAACAUAUAAUAUUACAUUUACUACACCAACCCCAUACAUGUCACAUAUCCCCAGAUAGCUUAGAUCUGAGCGCACAUAACCACCGAAUAGCGCUCAGAUCACACACAUACAGUUCAAUUGCCAUGGAGCCAAAGUCUUUAAUUACAUGAAUAGGCUCCAUGGCAUAGCUAUCUGGGUUAAAACAUUCACUUAAGUAAAGUCCCGAUCAAUCCAGAGUUCAUUUAAACAACCAAAAUAGAAGCAGGCGAAGGCUGGAGGCUCAGCGGUGCCUGCACGUAAAAGUAUCCGCUUUUAGUGCACUGAUUCUGGACUGGUCACUGCUGGCUGUCCGGGGAGCUCCAUAACACCGCCACCGGGUGGUGGCUAUGUGUAAUCGCGACCACCCAGUACAGUCAAUUAAGCUGCGGUUAACCGCAGCUACUGGGUGAUCAAUUGACGGCACACGCUAGCUUCCCGGUGGCCUCGCCUUUGUGCGGCUUUCGGUAGUGUAACAGGGGAAUACAUAGGGAUUGUACAGGCAGGGAAAUAAACCGAACUAUAGACAAAUGGAGGGAAAAUAAAUGUAAUCCAUAUACAGACAGUUCUGUUACACUAUCUAUAUAUAAAACAUUAAGAAAGAGAACACACAGGACUUCUUCAUAAAUAUGCUACUGCUUUUACUGAAACAGACUCUGUGCAAACAUAAAUCAAAAUUGACAAUUCAGUCCUACACUAGACUUUUAUCAAGAUAUCAAAUACUUGUGCAUGAUGUCCAUAUAUGUGUGUGUGUGUGUAUAUAUAUUUAUAUAAACCAGAAUGUAGGUAUGAAGGCACUCACUUUUAUCCAAUCGUAUUGAAGAAGUAAAUCGUUUGGUUAUAAAGGAACAUAAAUACAAUUUAAAUGCAAAGAAGGAAUGGGCACUCGUAGGACUUUCACUUUAUAAAAAAGUAAAAAAGAUUUUAAUUGUGCAGCGUCAACGUUUUGGAGACACUUGUGGUCCUUUCUCACAACCUUGAGAAAAGGAAUACCAGUGGGUCUGAAAUGUUGGUUAGCUACCAAAAACUGCAGUACAUUGUAGGACUAAGGGGGACAAGGACACUGCAUCCAGACCACUUCAAUGAGUUGAAUAUUAGAAUUUGGAAUCAAAAUAUUUACAGUGAAUUGUUGUUUUAGUGAUUUUUCUCCAAGAUAACAAAUAAAUACUAGUCAGCACACCAAAAUAAGAAAGAUAAAAUGUAAUCACAAAUUCAACAGGAGCAGCAAUCUUACAGGGUCUUUAAACCUAAGAAUAGCCUGAAGGAAUAAACCCAAAGUAAGUGGCGAAUCACCUAUACACAGUGAUAAUACUAAAGACACAGUGUAGCACUAAGAGUGUAUCAAUAGUGCAUAGAUAAAAAUCAAUAUAAUAUAAUAUAAUAUAUAUCAAACAAUAUAAUAAAGUAUCAAACAAAAAUAAUAGAAUAAGUAAUUUAUAAUAAUAAAUAAGAAAGAUAAAAUGUAAUCACAAAUUCAACAGGAGCAGCAAUCUUACAGGGUCUUUAAACCUAAGAAUAGCCUGAAGGAAUAAACCCAAAGUAAGUGGCGAAUCACCUAUACACAGUGAUAAUACUAAAGACACAGUGUAACACUAAGAGUGUAUCAAUAGUGCAUAGAUAAAAAUCAAUAUAAUAAAGUAUCAAACAAAAAUAAUAGAAUACUAACACAAUCAAAAAACUUAUAAUCAAUAAGAAAAACUGCCUCGGAACAGCAAGCCACGGGUAUUGUGUACUCACAACACCCUCCAUAGGGGGUGCCUCACACAGAUGAAGCUCCAGAGUCAUGGUAAGUCCCAUUCAUGCCAUCCACCAGUCCUGAAUAAUUUGUGCCAAAGGUAGGGUGAGGAUAUGGGGACAGAAAGGAUCUGCUGAAACCACGCAAACUAUAAAAGGAAGGCGACUGGCUCCGGCAGUCUACUCGGCCUUUAUCUGACCUCACCGGGUUGGGGGAGCACACCAAUCUGUGCACCCGUAUACUCUCCAUACUCUCCAUACAACGGCCGGAAGCUUCAAAAAAGGCCACGGUGAAAUUAAAAGGACAGCUCCGCUAGAAACCUCACGGACUUGAAGUCUAUGAGUUUCGUCCCACUACAGGACUUUCUCAAGUUGUUUUAGUGAUUUUUCUCCAAGAUGUCUAUUUUACAUGAUUUUAAACAAAUUAAAAUCUUUGUUAGUAGGUGGUCUGGGGAUCAUUCUUUCAUUCAUUCAUUCUUAACCUUCUUUGCCUGAAGACAAGUCAUUGAUUUGCCUUUUAUUACCUGCCUGGGUGCUUCUUGACAAGAUGGUUCUCUGUGUCAGUUCAAGAUGGGUUAAGUCAACAUUUUGCAUAUCUGCGGAAGUCUUUUUUUCCAUCUUCCUUUACAUUUAACAAACAUGGGCUGACACAAGACAACUGUAUUCAACUGAGAUAAGACAACUUGUUUAACGUGUUACCCUUUUAAAUUUUAUUGACUUUUGAGUAUAUACUCCCAUUUCAGUUCUAGAACAUUAUUUUUCAUAGACUUAUGCAUUCAGUGUCACACUGCGAUUGAACUGAAUUUUGGGCAGUUUAUCCGAAUUCUGUAACUCCAAAGUGACAUAUGGAUGUAUACCCAAACAAACAACUCACACAAUGGAUGAACAUGUUCAUUUCAUUCCAUUCAUGAUUCUGAGUUCUGUCUGUUUAGCCAAAAAGAGAUGAUUGAUUCGAAAAAAAGAUGAUUUAUUGUUAAAGGACAUUCACUAAAGGUUGAUUUUAUUCACAGAUUAAGUAGGAAGUAACUAAUAGAGGUGGAAAAAGCAGUUAAAACAAUCUAUACUUUUAUAGAUAUGUAUAUUAUACAUCUAUAUAUAAAAUCUAUGUAUAGAUUUUCUGCUUCUACUCCUGUUUUGCUUGUAUUGGAUAUUUCGUUUCACGUGAUCUGUGAGCUAAAUGACAGGGAAAUGCACCUAUUGGUAAACAUCAAAAUAUAUACAUCAUUUAUAUAAUAUAUAUAUUUUGCAUGGUUGAAAUUAGUUUGAACUGAAAAGUCACAUGAACGAAUUUCAGACAACCCAAACGUUUUUCAGAUGAGUCGAUUUGGCUGAACCAAUUUUUUUUUUUAAGUUGCACAAGUCUAAUUUUUAAUAAUAGAGAAACAAUUUUCUUUAUCUAGAAAUUUUUUAGGAAACAUGUUUCUUGAGGAUUAAAAAGUACUGGAGGCAAAUUAUGUACUUUAGACUUUGCAUAAAUAAGUAAAAUAUGAAUUACACCACCACUUCAGAUGUUUGUCUGCUGCUAGAGUCAUAAGUUUUCUCCAUCCUCAGACAUCCGAUCUUCAAGUGACUCUACAACAACAAUUAAAUCCACUGAUCCUAAAUACAUGAUAUUUCUUUUUACACAAAAAAUCGAUAAAGCACAAAUAUUAUCUAUCAACAGAAUAUGUAGAUUUUGGAAAGUUUGAAUUCAUAAGUAUCAACUGCUGAAUACACACACACACACUGGUUAACACACACACAGAAUGCAGAAUACAUACAGGCUGUUGUAUACACACAGGCUGCUGAAUACAUACACAGGCUGCUGAGUACACACACACAAACUGCUGAAUACACACACAGAAUGCAGAAAACACACAGACUGCUGAAUACACACACAGACUGCUGAGUCCACACACACAGACUGCAGAAUACAUACACAGAGAUAACUGAAUACAGACAUACUGCUGAGUACACACAUAGACUGCUUAUUACACAAAUACAGACUACUGAAUACAUACACACACGCUGCUGAAUACAUACACACAGACUGCUGAAUAGAAAACACAUACUGCUGAAUACACACAUGCAGACUGCAGAACACAUAAACACACAGUCUGACUGCUGAAUACACACAGACAGACACAGGGGUGUUGUGUGUGUGUGAAGGGUGCUAUGUGUAUGUGACGGGGGGUGUGUGUGUCUAUUGUAUGAGAGGUGCUCUAUGUGUGUGUAUGAGGGGUGCAAUGUGUGUAUGUAAAGGGUGCUGUGUGUGUGUGAGGGGUGUUGUAUGUGUAAGGGGUGCUGUGGGAGUGUGUGAGGGGUGCUGUGUGUGUGAGGAGUGGUGUGUGUGUGAGGGGUGGUGUGUGUGUGUGUGUGUGGCGGGAUGCAGUGUGUGUGUGAGGGGUGGUGUGUGUGUGUGUGUGCACAUGGUGCUGCAUGUAUGUGAGGGGUGCAGUAUGUGAGGGGUGCAGUGUGUGAGGGGUGCAGUAUGUGAGGGGUGCCAUAUGUGUGUGUCUGAAGGGUGUUGUGUGUGUGUGUGAGUGGUGCAGUGUGUAUGUGAGGAGUACAGUGUGUGUGAGGGAUGCUGUGUGUAAGGGGUGCAGUGUGUGUGAGGGGUGCUCUGUGUGUAUGUGAGGGGUGCAGUGUGUGUAUGUGUGAGGGGUGCUGUGUGUGUGUGAGGGGUGCUGUGUGUGUGAGGAGUGGUGUGUGUGUGAGGGGUGGUGUGUGUGUCUAUUGUAUGAAAGGUGCUCUAUGUGUGUGUAUGAGGGGUGCAAUGUGUGUAUGUAAAGAGUGCUGUGUGUGUGAGGGGUGUUGUGUGUGUAAAGGGUGAUGUGGGAAUGUGUGAGGGGUGCUGUGUGUGUGAGGGGUGCUAUGUGUGUGUGUGAGGGGUGGUGUGUGUGUGGUGUGAUGCAGUGUGUGUGUGAGAGGGGUGCUGUGUGUAUGAGGUGUGCUGUGUGUGUGUUUGAGGGGUGCUGUGUGUGUGUUUGAGGGGUGCUGUGCAUGUGUGAGAGGGCGCAUUUGUUAUUUUUAAUUAAAAUAAAUUUUUUAAAAAACCCUCAUACCCCCUUCCCCCACCCCCCGCACCCUUAUCCUUACUUUUGGUGAAGGAGGGGGACUCCAGUGGUAAGUAGUGAUGAGUUGACCCUUCAUUAGUGAGAGGUAGGAACUGUGAGGCAAUUUUUCUCUGCUCUAACCCAGCAUUCUGCUCGCGGGAGGAGGUAAGACAGCCUGCAGCCAGAGGAGCUGCAUCUUCACUCUUCACGCAAGCAGAAUUCUGUAUUGCAGCAUUGCCGUGGCAACGCUCUGACACAGCAUGCUCAUGGGAAAAACUGCCUCCCAGGUCCUACCUCUCACUAACGAAGGGCCUUUGGGAUACCAGCACAGUCAACGUGGAUCAAGAAAAAUUACUUCUCUAACUGCUAACUAACAUUUCCAUGACUCUUGAGAUGUAGGUAUAUACUAGCUAAAAUAUAAAUUCUUCUAAAACAUGUUUUUUCCCAAGCAGUAGAAGAUAUACACACAUCUGCUGCCUGUGGUUGAUGCUUAGAGAGUUAGUCGAAAUCAAUGGCACCUCCACACUUUGGUAGUACUCGUUAUAUGUUGCUUUAUGUUGUUAUGAAACGUGUUAACAAUCUGCACUCGGAAUCAGGAAACAAAAAAUUCAGAUGAAUCGCAAAUCAUUUGAAAGCAAGAACAAGUGUAGUACAAAUCAGAGGCCAGCUAACUUGAUACACUACAGAUUUGUAUAUAUUUUACAAUAAGGGAUGUAUUCAGAAUGGGUCUUGAGCACGAUCAAAUAUAAUCACUGCCUCAUGUUAAUUCUUGAAGCUAGGGAACUUGACACUCCUUUAAUUUAAUGGACUACCAGUGUGGGGAAUUAAAAAACUUCCAUACAUAAUUCGUAGAUAAACCAGCUAACACUGAGAACCAUAUAUAAAGUAGAUAAAACAUUGUUGAAGUAAAACAUAAAGCCAUCAAAAGUAUUUUUUUCAUAGAGAAAUAUGUAUAGAACCCAAUCAGCAGACAGUGAAGCCCAGCAUCCAAGGCAGGGGCGGUCGAUCACAGCAACCAGACAACUUUCGUAGAUAUGCCAGCUAACACUUACAACCAUAUAUAAAGUAGAUACAAGCCAUGUUGGAGUAAAAAGUAUAUUUUAUUGAGAUAGUUUAAAAACAAAGAAGAAAAGCAACUGUUAAGUAUUGUGCUGCUAUGUCCCCUUAUUGUCUAUGUGCCUUUUUGUUUUUAAACCAUCUCAAUAUAAGAAACGUUUUACUCCAUCAUGGAUUGUAUCUACUAUCUACUAUCUUCUAUAUAAAAAAAAUUACUUUUGGUUGCUUCUGUGUUAUAUACCUAUUGGAGCUAUUUCUGAUGCAAGUCUUGCUGGACUCCAGAAUGUUUUCUGGAUUCUUUUGUGAAUUGAAAAACCUCCACUACAUUUAAAAGCUGGGACCAUAAAGGAAAAUAAACACUACACAGAAAAUAUAGGAAUUUAUUCAGAAUGUUCCUUCUCUUCUCACAGUCUUAAUGAAAAUGUAAAAUACAAUUUUUUUAAAGUAUGAUUUAAUUUGCACUAUUUUGCCCUACUCGUUUUGUUCUUCUGACCUUUGCUAGUCCCCUUGUUUCCUCUUUUUUUCUCCCUGUGUUUUUAAUAUGGUUAAUGCUAAAUAUUUUGUGUAUAUGCCAAUGGGACCUGCUGUUGUGGGUUCAGGAUUAAUAUCAGAGUAAUGCACUGGUAGAAAUAGGCCAACCACUGUGUGAACCAGACCAUUUAUAUAAAUAUAUAUUACACUUUGCCUUAUUUAUCAGGGGUAGAAUAAUCAGCUAUAGUAAGACGUAUUGAGGUGAUGACACCAGAAAUGAUCUAAUAUUCAUUAAAAGUUAAAAGUAAACUCUUCAAGUAUGUGCCUUGUCAACAUCUUGUCACCUCUAAAGUUUAUCAUAUUGCAGCCCUUGCACGUGUACAUACUGUAGAAGGUGGACUCUUCCAUGACCAGGAAAAGGCUCCAUCAAUCCAAUGCCUCACAUUCUGCGCUAUGAAUUGUUAUUCUUAACCCAUGAGCCUCUGUCCAUUGUUGUUCCAAACUGAAAUCUGAGUUCCACUUUGGAGACAAGAAGGAUUUUUUGGGGACAAAAUUGGAAACCAUUUUGAAAUGAUUUUCUCUCAUUCUUUUGGAUCAAUGCAAGAAACAUGAAGAUAUGUGAACAUUUGAAUGUAGUAGUUCAGGCUGUAUUACCAUGGAACUAUUGUGAGCUAUUGUCUUUGUUCAGUCUGUAUUACCAUGGAACUAUUGUGAGCAAUUGUUUUAUUACAUUUUAUGUAUUUGCUUUAACCUUUUAUAUAGCCAUUUAUUUAAUUUUGUAUCCAUACACCAUUGACGGCUAUGGGAAACUGAAAUAGUAAAAUAGUGAUACAUUCUUUAGAAGUCAAUAUAGAUAAUGGCUUUGAAAUGUUUUGCAGGUUAUGUGACUGAUGUACCUGAAAUUUAAGCACUAAAAAAGAACUGAAGUUGCUGGUGUGUCUUUAAUGUUGAAAAAAAAUCACAAGAAGCCUUACUGAAAAUAUGUAAUAUAUUUAAACUGAACAACACCAUAGUCCAACCUGCACUAGAACUGGUACAGGACUUAGCUCUAAUGAAUGUGUUACACUUUGAAUGGGGUGUUUAUUUCUUUUUUUAUUUUUCACUACCACUUCUGCACAGAAUUAGCACUUAUGGAUGAUUAUUAGGUAGCUAGUUCAACUUUAUGUUCUUUUUUGUAUCCCUCAUCCAUUGGGCAGAGUCUUGGUGAUAUUUUGCUUCUCUUUUCACAUUAGCCUAGUACUACAACUAGGGUUAAGUAUAUGAUUUUGACCACCAGUUAUAGUCCUUCUAGCUUACAACUUUAUUUGAUCAUUUUUCAUUUUUAUGUCUCUUAUACAAACAUCUUCUGUCCUAUUCUCAUAAUCAAAUAGAUCUACACCUUUUCCUAGAUGGAAAUAAACAAAAUAUAGGAGGUAUCUUCUUAAAGACUUAUUUAGGUACCAGGUUUUCCUGCUGUAUUAAUGUCAUAUUAGAGGAAUGCAAGGUCAGAUGACUCAUUGCAUAUCCAUGAAUGAAGCUCUCUAGUGCAAACUGUAGUGGUUAUGGUGCUUGGAGUGUUCCAUUACUGGCAGUUAGUUGUACUGUUUUAUGAAAGGAGCAAUGGUGUACGAGAUUAAGAUUCAUCACUACAUGUUUAUUUUUUGUUUUUUUAAAGUAUUCAUUUAUUUAAUAAAUUAAGCUAACUGUGAUCUAUACAGCUUAUGGUAAGAUGAUGACAGCUGUACUAAAAUGCUGUAUGUACGUAAGUCGCUGUAUAGAGAUUUAAGGGAUGCACACAAUACUUUCAUACAGAGUUUUCAGAACAUCAAGAAUGUUUGUAGUACUUCAGCAAUGUCCUAGUGUGUGGAGAGUUCACUGCAGUAUUUGUUGUAGCCAACAAAGGAACUUCAAAGGUGAGUAUAUUUUCUUUGGGUUAUUUCACUUGAAUGCAUUAUCUAUACAGACAACUCCAGCCUGGGCUGUCUUUUAAAGACUCCUAGAGGCCAUAGGUGUUACCAAAUUUUGUUUUGUGUUCAAGGAUCCAGACAUUUUUCAAAACCUAAUAUCACCCCUGGUGGUAAUUAGUGGGUACUGUAAAACACAUAUGCUACUGUUAAAGGAAUAUAUGCUACAGUGCAGCGCUUAUCUAAUUGGCUGAUCUAAUUAUCUACAGAGCCACAGCUGAUAGAUCAACAACUUGCGCUCCUCAAGGAGAGCAGCACCCAGCGGACCCCAGGUAAGAAGUACAUCCAUUCCAGAAUGGUUUGACUACUCAUAAUGGUGGAGGGGACACCAGGGCUCCAUUUGCAUCAUGACCACUAUAGCGAGCUGUUGUGGUUAUGGUGCUUAGAAUGUUCCUUGAGUGCAGUGUUUGCUUGCCAUAAGACUUUAUUUUGUUUUUAAUAACAUGUUGCAGAGUGGCUAAAAUGAUCCUGUGGAUCGUUGUCAUCGGAUAAGUUGUUGAAACUACAUAUAUUUUGUAUAGAUUUUACACAAAGAGGAUGUAUAAAAACAAAUCCUUUCUUCCCUGCUGGAUGAGACACGGGAGUUCUUUGAUUGUAUGACUGCUGUCACCUCCCUAGCAAACAGAGAUUAUUGACUAUUGACAGGAAUUAAGCAGAGCUGUUUGUCCAGAGACCUGUUACUACAUACAAACCAAUUUACUGUCAGUGUGACGAUGGUGACGAUGUUACAUAGAAGCAGAGCAGCUGUUACCUUGCGUAUAUGUCCUAAGCUGCUCAAUACACUCUUUCUCCCCAUUAAAUUGUACUUGCUAAAACUCACAGAAACUUAGGUGAAACCAGUGUGUGAAAAAAAGUGAACAAAACAUGAGUUCAAAGAGACCACAAACAAAUUGAAUCAACAAAAAGGUAAUUAACAGGCAUUUAACAGAAAUGAAGAGGAAUGUCAAACACCAAAACUAGUGCCGUUUCAAAAGUAAAUAUUCUAAUACUUUUUAUUUAAUGGAAUGUCUUUAUCUGUACUUAAUUGGACACUAUAAAGCACAUUAAACGUGCUCUGGAUGGAUUUCAUUUAUAAAAAAAAAAUCGCUAACAAAUAGAAAACACUUUUAAUUACUACUUAUUUUUUUGCUGUUGAUUUGAAAACUUGUCAACGUUUUUCAAAUUUAUGGACCGGAAGUACAUUGCUUAAUUGUUUAAUCUCCCGAUUCAUGAUUGAUUUAGCACACGCCUCGUCCACAGUUUUCAAAAAGUUAACUAUAAAAAAAGCGUAUUCCUAAAGCAUCUAGCAAAGUUUUUGGUCUUGCUGUGUGAAUACUGAAUAGUUUUGCGAUGUAAUUUGGAUAUUAGAAUAACAAUGUCAUAAUAUGCAAAUGGAAACUAUGUAUUAACCCUUCAAAGUAUUCCAAGGGUUCCAUUUUCACAAUAAUAAUCAGAAAAUAUCAGCCCAUGGAAAUAGGAAUUGCUAUAAAAACUUGCAAAAAAUGUGCAUUGAUUUAAUAGUGAAUGCAAUCAAAAUGAUUUUGUGUAGUUAAGUUCUGCUUUUAAUAUAAUAAUGAAUCAGGAAAGGUGUGUUCAUCAUUCACUAAUAUUUAAAUAUGUCCUUGGGUAUCGAAGCUACUAUUUUGAUGAUUAUUAUUAUUAUUAUUUUAUUAUUUAUAUAGUGCCAACAAAUUCCGUAGCGCUGUACAAUGUACAAUGAUUGGUACUUUAUAUCUGUGCAGGGUGGGAUGAUAGCGGAGACGUAAUGCACGUUUCAUAUUCGUAAAUGACUCCUCUCAACAUUUACUACAAAAAAAUAUUGUCCUUGUGUCUUCAAUGCGAACUUCGACUGUCUGUUUUAAAUUAUAGACAAUAAUAUCGAACAAUUAAGAGUUGUAUAUAAAGGGCCAACUGAUGUAGGAUUAUGAACAGUGGGAAGCUGAUCCUUCUUGAAAACCAUCAAAUACAAGUUUCCACAUUUUUCCCUGUUGGAAAUAUUCAGACGCAGAAGAUGCCAGCUUGGUAGUGGAUGGGGAUUAGCUUCCUCCCAGCCCUAACUCCAGUGUUAAGGCAGCAGUAGAUCAACUGUAUAAUGUGUGCACUGUUUAGCCAUUUGUACAAGCAGAACAAAGGUUGAGCUUAGCCAAAUUGCAUUGCACUUGUGAACUGAGUCCCAAUUUGAAGUAUCUUUUACAGCAGGGGGAAUGAGAACAAUUUUGUGUGUGUCUAAAAAAAAAAAGGAAUGAUAAAGCCACUUUCUAGAGCAUCUCAAAGUGAAGUAGUGAGGCGUGACAUUCCCAGGGUGACAUGGGACAAUGGCAGGGUCAGGUGGAUGAAAAAGAGAACCAAACAGCCACUUUCACAUGUCUGCCCUAAAGUGCUGCACCUCUCCAUAAUAGAAAACAAAUGUUGUAAAAAGGGGGAUUGCUCCAAUUCAUUUAAAAUGGCAAAUGAUAGCUAAACAACAUUGUCAAAACGGAAUCAACGUCUAUGCAGAGCCACCCAGAAUAGGCCUUUGUGUUUGAUUUUAUGAGAGGCUGCGUCACUUUUAACUCUAGUUAAACAUUUGAAGAAUUCUCCCAAGAAGAUCUGAAACCCCUCUAAGAGUUUUAAUCCGAUUUCCAUAUAUUUCCCCCCUCACGUUUUCCAGAAAAGUUUUUUUCUGCAAAAAUUAAAACAUUUUAAAAAUAGACCUGCUGUCUACAUUUUUACCAAAUUCGGUAAAAUAUUUAAAUUUAAAAUUUGACAAGUAUUUUUUUUAUUUUUUUUUUACGGAGUCCUUUAUUUAAUUAUUGAGAAAUUUAAAGUGUAUUAUUUUGUGUUUUUCAUGUUUUUUUUCUUUAUUAUUUUAUUUUAAACCCAGCUGAAGGGAAAGGAAAACAUUCUUGGUUAUAGUUUGCUGGUCUUUUUGUCUGCUUGUUUUAUCCAAUGUAUUCUGCUAAUCAUAUACAUGGUUUAAGUAUACCAACAGUAUAUUAUUGGCUCUUCAAAAGGUUAAUAGAACUUCAUUCAUUUCUUUCAACUUGCCUCCUUUUUUUCUCUCUCAUCAGUAUAACACAGCUCUGCCACCCACAAAGCUGGCGAAAGAGGUCAUGUGAUUAUAACUAACCUCCAGUCAACCAGAGGAUGGCUAAUUCCUGAUGUCUAAAAGCAGCAUUGAUCCCUUUCCAAUGAAUGAUCUUCACAUUCAGCAAAAAUCAAGCACUUUUCUACGGGAAAGAAAGAGGAUGCUUUUAAAUACUGUGAACAUGAAAGACUUUAAGACACAAAAUAGAUUUUAUCCAUCCUGAAAUAUUCCAGUGGAG